AACACGAACCAAGGAGUCUAUCUAGUAUGCGAGUAAAUGGGCACAAGAAAACCUAUUUGCAUAAAUAACUUGACUGUUAUGGGAUUACGAGCUGCAUCCUACCAUAUGGUGUGAUGCGUUCCUCCAUCCCGGGGUAUUUUUAUAUAAUGUCUUGUUAGCUCUUUGGGGCUGAUGGGUGCAUAGAAAAUAUACCAUGAGCACACUGGAUACGACCCGAAAGAUGGUGAACUAUGCCUGAUCAGGUUGAAGUCAGGGGAAACCCUGAUGGAGGACCGAAGCAAUUCUGACGUGCAAAUCGAUUGUCAGAAUUGGGCAUAGGGGCGAAAGACCAAUCGAACCAUCUAGUAGCUGGUUCCUUCCGAAGUUUCCCUCAGGAUAGCUGGAGCAUAUACGAGUCAUACACUAACUCAUACCUGGUAAAGCGAAUGAUUAGAGGCCUUAGGAUCGAAAUGAUUUUAACCUAUUCUCAAACUUUAAAUGGAUAUGUAAGUUAACAUACUUGAUUGAUGUUGACCGGUUUGCCCCGUUAAACGGGCACGUAAGAUUGUAUGCGCCCAGUGGGCCAAGUUUUGGUAAGCAGAACUGGUGCUGUGGGAUGAACCAAACGCAAUGUUAAGGCGCCUAAAUAAACGACGCAUCAUCGAUACCAUGAAAGGUGUUGAUUGCUGAAGACAGCAGGACGGUGGACAUGGAAGUUGUCAU
rnacentral:rRNA from 1 species